rnacentral:rRNA from 1 species
UUAAGCGACUAAGCGUACACGGUGGAUGCCCUGGCAGUCAGAGGCGAUGAAGGACGUGCUAAUCUGCGAUAAGCGUCGGUAAGGUGAUAUGAACCGUUAUANCACACUAUCAUUAACUGAAUCCAUAGGUUAAUGAGGCGAACCGGGGGAACUGAAACAUCUAAGUACCCCGAGGAAAAGAAAUCAACCGAGAUUCCCCCAGUAGCGGCGAGCGAACGGGGAGCAGCCCAGAGCCUGAAUCAGUGUGUGUGUUAGUGGAAGCGUCUGGAAAGGCGCGCGAUACAGGGUGACAGCCCCGUACACAAAAAUGCACAUACUGUGAGCUCGAUGAGUAGGGCGGGACACGUGGUAUCCUGUCUGAAUAUGGGGGGACCAUCCUCCAAGGCUAAAUACUCCUGACUGACCGAUAGUGAACCAGUACCGUGAGGGAAAGGCGAAAAGAACCCCGGCGAGGGGAGUGAAAAAGAACCUGAAACCGUGUACGUACAAGCAGUGGGAGCNGUGACUGCGUACCUUUUGUAUAAUGGGUCAGCGACUUAUAUUCUGUAGCAAGGUUAACCGAAUAGGGGAGCCGAAGGGAAACCGAGUCUUAACUGGGCGUUAAGUUGCAGGGUAUAGACCCGAAACCCGGUGAUCUAGCCAUGGGCAGGUUGAAGGUUGGGUAACACUAACUGGAGGACCGAACCGACUAAUGUUGAAAAAUUAGCGGAUGACUUGUGGCUGGGGGUGAAAGGCCAAUCAAACCGGGAGAUAGCUGGUUCUCCCCGAAAGCUAUUUAGGUAGCGCCUCGUGAAUUCAUCUCCGGGGGUAGAGCACUGUUUCGGCAAGGGGGUCAUCCCGACUUACCAACCCGAUGCAAACUGCGAAUACCGGAGAAUGUUAUCACGGGAGACACACGGCGGGUGCUAACGUCCGUCGUGAAGAGGGAAACAACCCAGACCGCCAGCUAAGGUCCCAAAGUCAUGGUUAAGUGGGAAACGAUGUGGGAAGGCCCAGACAGCCAGGAUGUUGGCUUAGAAGCAGCCAUCAUUUAAAGAAAGCGUAAUAGCUCACUGGUCGAGUCGGCCUGCGCGGAAGAUGUAACGGGGCUAAACCAUGCACCGAAGCUGCGGCAGCGACACUGUGUGUUGUUGGGUAGGGGAGCGUUCUGUAAGCCUGUGAAGGUGUNAUGCUGGAGGUAUCAGAAGUGCGAAUGCUGACAUAAGUAACGAUAAAGCGGGUGAAAAGCCCGCUCGCCGGAAGACCAAGGGUUCCUGUCCAACGUUAAUCGGGGCAGGGUGAGUCGACCCCUAAGGCGAGGCCGAAAGGCGUAGUCGAUGGGAAACAGGUUAAUAUUCCUGUACUUGGUGUUACUGCGAAGGGGGGACGGAGAAGGCUAUGUUGGCCGGGCGACGGUUGUCCCGGUUUAAGCGUGUAGGCUGGUUUUCCAGGCAAAUCCGGAAAAUCAAGGCUGAGGCGUGAUGACGAGGCACUACGGUGCUGAAGCAACAAAUGCCCUGCUUCCAGGAAAAGCCUCUAAGCAUCAGGUAACAUCAAAUCGUACCCCAAACCGACACAGGUGGUCAGGUAGAGAAUACCAAGGCGUUUGAGAGAACUCGGGUGAAGGAACUAGGCAAAAUGGUGCCGUAACUUCGGGAGAAGGCACGCUGAUAUGUAGGUGAAGUCCCUCGCGGAUGGAGCUGAAAUCAGUCGAAGAUACCAGCUGGCUGCAACUGUUUAUUAAAAACACAGCACUGUGCAAACACGAAAGUGGACGUAUACGGUGUGACGCCUGCCCGGUGCCGGAAGGUUAAUUGAUGGGGUCAGCGCAAGCGAAGCUCUUGAUCGAAGCCCCGGUAAACGGCGGCCGUAACUAUAACGGUCCUAAGGUAGCGAAAUUCCUUGUCGGGUAAGUUCCGACCUGCACGAAUGGCGUAAUGAUGGCCAGGCUGUCUCCACCCGAGACUCAGUGAAAUUGAACUCGCUGUGAAGAUGCAGUGUACCCGCGGCAAGACGGAAAGACCCCGUGAACCUUUACUAUAGCUUGACACUGAACAUUGAGCCUUGAUGUGUAGGAUAGGUGGGAGGCUUUGAAGUGUGGACGCCAGUCUGCAUGGAGCCGACCUUGAAAUACCACCCUUUAAUGUUUGAUGUUCUAACGUGGACCCGUGAUCCGGGUUGCGGACAGUGUCUGGUGGGUAGUUUGACUGGGGCGGUCUCCUCCUAAAGAGUAACGGAGGAGCACGAAGGUUGGCUAAUCCUGGUCGGACAUCAGGAGGUUAGUGCAAUGGCAUAAGCCAGCUUGACUGCGAGCGUGACGGCGCGAGCAGGUGCGAAAGCAGGUCAUAGUGAUCCGGUGGUUCUGAAUGGAAGGGCCAUCGCUCAACGGAUAAAAGGUACUCCGGGGAUAACAGGCUGAUACCGCCCAAGAGUUCAUAUCGACGGCGGUGUUUGGCACCUCGAUGUCGGCUCAUCACAUCCUGGGGCUGAAGUAGGUCCCAAGGGUAUGGCUGUUCGCCAUUUAAAGUGGUACGCGAGCUGGGUUUAGAACGUCGUGAGACAGUUCGGUCCCUAUCUGCCGUGGGCGCUGGAGAACUGAGGGGGGCUGCUCCUAGUACGAGAGGACCGGAGUGGACGCAUCACUGGUGUUCGGGUUGUCAUGCCAAUGGCACUGCCCGGUAGCUAAAUGCGGAAGAGAUAAGUGCUGAAAGCAUCUAAGCACGAAACUUGCCCCGAGAUGAGUUCUCCCUGACCCUUUAAGGGUCCUGAAGGAACGUUGAAGACGACGACGUUGAUAGGCCGGGUGUGUAAGCGCAGCGAUGCGUUGAGCUAACCGGUACUAAUGAACCGUGAGGCUUAACCUU